GAUGAAGAACGCAGCAAAAUGCGAUACUUGGUGUGAAUUGCAGAAUCCCGUGAACCAUCGAGUUUUUGAACGCAAGUUGCGCCCGAAGCCUUUUGGCCGAGGGCACGUCUGCCUGGGCGUCACGCAUCGCGUCGCCCCCCACAAUUCUCCGUAAAGGGAACAUGUGUUUUGGGGGCGGAUAUUGGUCUCCCGUGCUCAUGGCGUGGUUGGCCGAAAUAGGAGUCCUUUCGAUGGACGCACGAACUAGUGGUGGUCGUAAAAACCCUCGUCUUUUGUUUCGUGCUGUUGCUCGCAAGGUAAACUCUUUAAAAACCCCAAUGUGCCGUCUCUUGACGACGCUUCGACCGCGACCCCAGGUCAGGCGGGACUACCCGCUGAGUUUAAGCAUAUCCAAUAAGCGGAGGA
rnacentral:misc_RNA from 1 species